rnacentral:rRNA from 1 species
CAGCACCUCAAGUGGUCAGGAUGAUUAUUGGGCCUAAAGCAUCCGUAGCCGGCUCUGUAAGUUUUCGGUUAAAUCUGUACGCUCAACGUACAGGCUGCCGGGAAUACUGCAGAGCUAGGGAGUGGGAGAGGUAGACGGUACUCGGUAGGAAGGGGUAAAAUCCAUUGAUCUAUUGAUGACCACCUGUGGCGAAGGCGGUCUACCAGAACACGUCCGACGGUGAGGGAUGAAAGCUGGGGGAGCAAACCGGAUUAGAUACCCGAGUAGUCC